ACGGGAGGCAGCAGUGAGGAAUAUUGGUCAAUGGACGCAGGUCUGAACCAGCCAAGUCGCGUGAGGGAUGGCGGUCCUAUGGAUUGUAAACCUCUUUUGUCGGGGAGUAACGUGCGGUACGUGUACCGUAUUGAGAGUACCCGAAGAAAAAGCAUCGGCUAACUCCGUGCCAGCAGCCGCGGUAAUACGGAGGAUGCGAGCGUUAUCCGGAUUUAUUGGGUUUAAAGGGUGCGCAGGCGGCGCGUCAAGUCAGCGGUAAAAUGUCGGUGCUCAACGCCGGCCGGCCGUUGAAACUGUCGUGCUCGAGUUCGUGCGAGGAGAGCGGAAUGCGUGGUGUAGCGGUGAAAUGCAUAGAUAUGACGAAGAACACCGAUUGCGUAGGCAGCUGACCAGGCCGUAAAUGACGCUCAUGCACGAAAGUGCGGGGAUCGAACAGGAUUAGAUACCCUGGUA
rnacentral:rRNA from 1 species